AUAACAUCUCUAAAGCAUACAGAGCAGUCAGUUCACAAAUAGCUCUCACUGUGCUUUGAUGUCGCCGAUCCGUCUGCGAUCAAACAUCAGUGGCACGAGUGUUCACCGGUGUUGUUCCGCUCGCGCGACAGGCGGGAAUUCAAAAUAACGGAUCGCAACAACCUCUCGACUGUCCCAUUGGAUAAUUUUCAGUAUUUUCCAGUUGAGCAGCAAAAAAAUGGACACCCAAGGCCAACAGACCCAGCCCACCCUGAUGCUCAUCCUUGCACUGCCUGGGACACCUAAGGCCAACAGGCGCAGCUCCUGUUCUCUUUUUGCCAUAAAUACAUAUCUACUUUAGCAAUGCAAAAUUGUGAAAUGUACUAUAGAAAUAAUUUUGACUUUGACUACAUGGAUCCUCACACCACCUGGUAAUAGCAGGAAACCCAUUUGGAGAGAACAGCAUUGUUUUCUCUAGCUCGCAAGGAUUUUCUUUUUGGCAAAUUACAACCUUAACAUGGGUGUUGGCCUUGCUAUGAGACAUUACUUUUUUGCUGGACUUUUUUACAAUUGUACAUUUGUACAAAGUACCUGAAAUAUUUCUGUAUGUAAAGUAUAUUUAAAAUUAAGGCAAAUUAUUUGGUUAGUUUUGUUAAGAUAAAGACUUUUCAUU